rnacentral:rRNA from 1 species
AGGGAAUCUUCCGCAAUGGACGAAAGUCUGACGGAGCAACGCCGCGUGAGUGAAGAAGGCCUUCGGGUCGUAAAGCUCUGUUGCCGGGGAAGAACAAGUGCCGUUCGAACAGGGCGGUGCCUUGACGGUACCCGGCCAGAAAGCCACGGCUAACUACGUGCCAGCAGCCGCGGUAAUACGUAGGUGGCAAGCGUUGUCCGGAAUUAUUGGGCGUAAAGCGCGCGCAGGCGGCUUCUUAAGUCUGAUGUGAAAUCUUGCGGCUCAACCGCAAGCGGUCAUUGGAAACUGGAAGACUUGAGUGCAGAAGAGGAGAGUGGAAUUCCACGUGUAGCGGUGAAAUGCGUAGAGAUGUGGGGGAACACCAGUGGCGAAGGCGACUCUCUGGUCUGUAACUGACGCUGAGGCGCGAAAGCGUGGGGAGCAAAC